CCUACGGGGGCUGCAGUGAGGAAUAUUGGUCCAUGGGCGGCAGCCUGAACCAGCCAUCCCGCGUGAAGGAAGAAUGCGCUAUGCGUUGUAAACUUCUUUUUCAGGGGGAUAAAAUUCUGUAUGUAUACAGGACUGAAGGUACCCUGAGAAUAAGCAUCGGCUAACUCCGUGCCAGCAGCCGCGGUAAUACGGAGGAUGCGAGCGUUAUCCGGAUUUAUUGGGUUUAAAGGGUGCGUAGGCGGAAUAAUAAGUCAGUGGCGAAACCCUGAAGCUUAACUGUAGACUUGCCAUUGAUACUGUUUUUCUUGAGUAUUGUCAAGGCAGGCGGAAUGUGUAAUGUAGCGGUGAAAUGCUUAGAUAUUACACAGAACACCGAUAGCGAAGGCAGCUUGCUGGGCCGUUACUGACGCUGAUGCGCGAAAGCGUGGGGAUCGAACA
rnacentral:rRNA from 1 species